rnacentral:rRNA from 1 species
GACGAACGCUGGCGGCGUGCCUAAUACAUGCAAGUUGAGCGCUGAAGGUUGGUACUUGUACCGACUGGAUGAGCAGCGAACGGGUGAGUAACGCGUGGGGAAUCUGCCUUUGAGCGGGGGACAACAUUUGGAAACGAAUGCUAAUACCGCAUAAAAACUUUAAACACAAGUUUUAAGUUUGAAAGAUGCAAUUGCAUCACUCAAAGAUGAUCCCGCGUUGUAUUAGCUAGUUGGUGAGGUAAAGGCUCACCAAGGCGAUGAUACAUAGCCGACCUGAGAGGGUGAGCGGCCACAUUGGGACUGAGACACGGCCCAAACUCCUACGGGAGGCAGCAGUAGGGAAUCUUCGGCGAUGGACGAAAGUCUGACCGAGCAACGCCGCGUGAGUGAAGAAGGUUGUCGGAUCGUAAAACUCUGUUGGUAGAGAAGAACGUUGGUGAGAGUGGAAAGCUCAUCAAGUGACGGUAACUACCCAGAAAGGGACGGCUAACUACGUG